GACGUGUUGCCUGGUUUUUCCAAAGGAUAAUCUCUUAUCUUCCUUAUUCUCACAUCUUAAACUCCACCAAUUAUUAGUUUGCUAUAAGGUUUCUAACACAUAUGAGCAGUAAUUUGAAUCUUGAUCCAUUUCAUUCCUAUGUGAAAAGAUUUGGAUUGGAAGUUCACCAGGCCUUUUCAUCAGUCCGUGGAAGAGUGAAAGGGUCACCACUACUGAGGAUCUCCCCCCUAAUCUUAGAUAGGUAGUCUGAGGGUUCGCCGCGGUUCAUUGCUGUGCUUACACACUAGGCUACCCUUCUCCGCCAACUCUAGCUGAGAAGCACCCUCCAUCCACUUCCCCUUUUCCGUGUGCCCAAAAGCCCGCCCGCCCGGUUUAUGAGCCCCCUUCCGAUUCCCUCACCCUUGGGUAUUUAGGUAGUUUAGCGGAAGCGAAAACAAUGGGAAAACAGAAAAUAGAACAAAAGGGAUAAGUCUGGAAUCACUCCAGGGGUUUGGCUUCACACCAUUUAGUCUCCAAUCUCGGGAAAAUAAGCUUUUCUUUAUAUCUCAACAACUGAAUUUUAAAGAACUACAUGGGGGUAUUUAUAGCAAACUAAAACCUAGAAACAAAAGGAUAAAAAUCCCUUAAUAAAAAAGAAAUCCUAAUCCACCAAGGAACUAAGUAAAAAUAAACUAGGAAACUUAAAUCAAAUCCUACUAAAAAACUGGAAACUAAAAUCCUAGUGAAAUCUGGAAAACUAGAGAAUCUAGGAAACUAAUAAAUCAGGAAACUAACUAAUGAUGUUUGCAUCAAUUCUCCUUGGCUGAAAAGAUCUCGACUCAGGCGAGAUAAAGCUGUAAGAACAUUCCAAAAUGUCGGGAUCAAUGUACGGCAGGUUCUCCUUUGCAAUCCGAGUACUAUGAGAAUCUGGUCUAACUUCCACUUGACUAGGAACUUCUGCAUCUUCCUUACAUUCUUUAAGCGUAAUGAUAUGUAGAGCUUUGGUUUUACCAACUCUGUCUUGCUCCUGUUUGUUUGGUAUAGAUUGAUUCAUGAGCUUGGGUUGAAGUGACUUCAUCGUGAUCUUCUUUCCUUUAUGGAUGAACGAACAUAUAUUUUCUUGACCCAAGAUGGUAAAGUUGUAAUCGUAGAUCCAUGGUCUUCCCAAGAGAAUAUGACUCACAUCCAUGUCCACCACAUCACACCAAACAUGAUCUUUGUAAGAUGAAAACUGUAUAGGAACAUUACAUUGUUGGGUAACAGGGAUAGAAGAUCUGUCAAUCCAUGAUACUCUGUAUGGCACAAGAUGCUUCUCGGGCAACAAACCAAGAUGAGAAACAGUCAGCGUUGACACCACAUUGAUACAACUCCCAUUAUCUAUGACCACCUUACAAUCUUUAUCUCCAGACUUGAUGUAAGUGUGGAAAAUGGAAGUCCUACGCCAAUCCUCAGUUUCCUUCCUAGGUUGAGCCAAAGUACACCUUACUACUGCUAAUGUUGGAUGAGGGACUUCAAAGUCGAUUCCACAAUCUUCAUCAGGUUGUUGGGGUUCAUAAAUAUCUUCCUCAAAUUCGCCUUGAUUGUCAGCUUGUUUGUUGAUGUGUGCACACAGAUUUCUUGUUGCCUCCUUCGUUGGGCAUUGGACAGCAAAGUGUCCAUAUCCUUGGCAUCUGUAACAUCUUUGCGUUCCACCACCACCACAUGCAUCUACUAGCACUCCUUUUCCCUUGGCAGUUUUUACUAAAUUAGUCGUAGAUGUUGGAGUCGUAGAACUUGGAGUCACAGAUGUGCCAACAUGACAAUCAGAUCUUUGAGAAUCAGUUUGCUUGACUACAUUGGACGACUUUAGAUACUUCUCUAGUUCUUGUACCACCUGAAACACCCUCCCUAAAGUAUUCAUAGUAUGAGGAAUUAAUUCCCUUUGAAGCUCUGGACGAAGUCCUGAUCUAAACCGAGAAAUAGUCAUCCUUCGAUCUUCCCUUAUGUCACAUUGCAACAUGAAUUCCUCAAAUUUUGCAAUAUAUUCAGCAACCGGCAUGUUGUCUUGACGAAGAGUUUGCCACUCGUCCAACAAACCUUGUUGAUAGGAUAAUGGUAUAUAUUUCUGCUUCAACCUUUCUUUCAUCUCACCCCAAUGGAUGAUUGGUUCUUCACCAGCUUUCUCUAGCUGUGUUUCAACAUUGGUCCAAAACAAUCCAGCUUGACCCACCAAUUUUAUCUUAGCAAAUCUCACCCUUCGAGCUUCAGACAUGUCAUGCCACUCAAAGUAGCGAUCCAUGGUAGCUAACCAGUCAAGGAGUGCUUUAGGAUUUAGCUCACCAUCAAAAUUAGGAGCGUCAACUUUCACUGAUCUCAUCACCCUUUCAUCAGGGUCUUGCUCAUAGCCAUGAUGAAAAUUGUGCCUCUCUGCGUCUCGAUCAUUCCUUCUAUCAUGACGUUGUCGAUCAUGAUUCCUCACUUCUUCACACUUGCUUCAUUAUGUUGGUUAGCUGCUUCUAAGUCUGCAAGGCGACGUUCCACGAGUCUGGAGCUAGUGUCUGAAUCUGCCACUUGCUUUGAUAGGUUUUCCAUAAUCUGAACAAGACGUUAAAAGUCCGUCUCUGGCUCGUCUGUCUUUCCAGGCUUAGUUGGAGCCAUCACUUGGCACACGGUGUGAAGAACAAGAAAUACUCUCAAAUUUUGAACCCAAGGAAAACGAAAACCAGGCCCUGAUGCCAAAUUUGAUGUAGGAUAUGGGUAAAUUGGGUAUUUAGGUAGUUUAGCGGAAGCGAAAACAAUGGGAAAACAGAAAAUAGAACAAAAGGGAUAAGUCUG
rnacentral:lncRNA from 1 species